AGAGUUUGAUCCUGGCUCAGGAUGAACGCUAGCUACAGGCUUAACACAUGCAAGUCGCGGGGCAGCAUGAAGGAUGCUUGCAUUCUUUGAUGGCGACCGGCGCACGGGUGAGUAACGCGUAUCCAACCUGCCUGUUACCACGGCACAGCCCGUCGAAAGGCGGAUUAAUGCCGUAUGUGGUCCUUUGCGGGCAUCUAAUUAGGACUAAAGGUUCAGCGGUAACAGAUGGGGAUGCGUCCGAUUAGCUAGACGGCGGGGUAACGGCCCACCGUGGCUACGAUCGGUAGGGGUUCUGAGAGGAAGGUCCCCCACACUGGAACUGAGACACGGUCCAGACUCCUACGGGAGGCAGCAGUGAGGAAUAUUGGUCAAUGGACGCAAGUCUGAACCAGCCAUGCCGCGUGCAGGAUGACGGCUCUAUGAGUUGUAAACUGCUUUUGUACGAGGGUAAACGCAGAUACGUGUAUCUGUCUGAAAGUAUCGUACGAAUAAGGAUCGGCUAACUCCGUGCCAGCAGCCGCGGUAAUACGGAGGAUUCAAGCGUUAUCCGGAUUUAUUGGGUUUAAAGGGUGCGUAGGCGGUUUGAUAAGUUAGAGGUGAAAUUUCGGGGCUCAACCCUGAACGUGCCUCUAAUACUGUUGAGCUAGAGAGUAGUUGCGGUAGGCGGAAUGUAUGGUGUAGCGGUGAAAUGCUUAGAGAUCAUACAGAACACCGAUUGCGAAGGCAGCUUACCAAACUAUAUCUGACGUUGAGGCACGAAAGCGUGGGGAGCAAACAGGAUUAGAUACCCUGGUAGUCCACGCAGUAAACGAUGAUAACUCGUUGUCGGCGAUACACAGUCGGUGACUAAGCGAAAGCGAUAAGUUAUCCACCUGGGGAGUACGUUCGCAAGAAUGAAACUCAAAGGAAUUGACGGGGGCCCGCACAAGCGGAGGAACAUGUG
rnacentral:rRNA from 1 species